rnacentral:rRNA from 1 species
AACGAACGUUAGCGGCGCGCCUAACACAUGCAAGUCGCACGAGAAAGGGCUUCGGCCCCGGUACAGUGGCGCACGGGUGAGUAACACGUAGGUCAUCUGCCCUCAGGUGGUGGAUAACCCUCCGAAAGGAGGGCUAAUACAGCAUGAGACCACGGCUUCUCCGGAAGCCGAGGCCAAAGCGGGCCUCUUCACGAAAGCUCGCGCCAGAGGAUGAGCCUGCGGCCCAUCAGCUAGUUGGCGGUGUAAUGGACCACCAAGGCUAAGACGGGUAGCUGGUCUGAGAGGAUGAACAGCCACACUGGAACUGAGACACGGUCCAGACUCCUACGGGAGGCAGCAGUGGGGAAUCUUGCGCAAUGGGCGAAAGCCUGACGCAGCGACGCCGCGUGAGCGAUGAAGGCCUUC